ACGUAAAAUAUCUGUGCUGCCACAUCGCCUGACACUCCAUACAGCAUUGUAGUGAUUUUAUUAUUAUCGGUAAUGUACCUGAAGCGCUAGCGAAUCUUCAAGAUACACAAGCUGUCUUCAACGACUUGUCUUCGGCAGCGAUUGUCACACUGGUGCUACUAUUUUUUCUACACUUCAAGUUAUGCAGUACUUGUUAUUCUGCAGAUUUUUCAAUGCCACAUGCCGCUCGUGCACUAGGAUCGGUAAAAACGGUGUUUCUCCUAGCAGUACAGCUUUGUUAUAAUAUCAGAUGCUCUCCUGAAGCCUCUGUCUGCCACUAGUAUUUUCGC
rnacentral:lncRNA from 1 species